rnacentral:rRNA from 1 species
GACGAACGCUGGCGGCGUGCUUAACACAUGCAAGUCGAACGGUGAAGCACCUUCCUUUUGGUGGGUGUGGAUGAGUGGCGAACGGGUGAGUAACACGUGAGUAACCUGCCCCCUUCUUCUGGAUAACCGCAUGAAAGUGUGGCUAAUACGGGAUAUUCUGGGUCUGUCGCAUGGCGGGCCUGGGAAAGAUAUUGUUUCGGUGGGGGAAGGGCUCGCGGUCUAUCAGCUUGUUGGUGGGGUGAUGGCCUACCAAGGCGGAGACGGGUAGCCGGCCUGGGAGGGUGGACGGUCCCACUGGGACUGAGACACGGCCCAGACUCCUACGGGAGGCAGCAGUGGGGAAUAUGGCACAAUGGGCGCAAGCCUGAUGCAGCGACGCCGCGUGAGGGAUGGAGGCCUUCGGGUUGUAAACCUCUUUCGCCAGUGAAGCAGGCCUGUCCCUUUUGUGGGUGGGUUGACGGUAGCUGGAUAAGAAGCGCCGGCUAACUACGUG